GUGCUCUUUAAAGCCGCAAAACGACUCUAGUCUCUCUUUCAGCAGCUCUUUAAAUAUUGAAGAGAACCAUCUUGUCCUGUCGUCCCGUUUUCUCCCAUUGUGUUAAAACUUUGUACUUCCCUCAGCCCUGUUAUAGCAGUGUGUCCGGUCUCUUGGACGUCUGAAGAGAAGCUUCGGUGGGUCAGUGAUCACCCUGAGGCUGACCCAGAAGGAGCGAGAUUUCAGGGGUGCUGUGGUCAGAGCCUGGUGAGCCAGGACUCCAUCUCCUCAGGUCAGGAGGUUAUAAAUCAACACAGGUUCAGCAAACCUUCCUACACAAAUCAUUAGCUUCUCCGCCUCCUUUCUGGAAAUCAGAGACACUGAACAGAAACAAACAGCUUUAGUGAGAUUUGGGGUGAAAACUCAUCUCUCAAACUGUUGAGGGGAAUUUAAGAAAAUCCUGUGCGGUGACCGCCUCAGGCUGUAUCCUCUACUAAAGGCUCAGGAAGAAGGCAGAGAGUCCAGAGUUUCCCAGAUGGCUCAGCAGUAAAGAACUCGCCUGCAGUUCGGGGGACACAGGUGCAAUACCUGGUUUGGGAAGAUUCCCUAGAGGAGGAAAUGGCAACCCGCUCCAGUAUUAAUGCCUGGAAAAGCCCAUGGAUAGAGGAACCCAGCAGGCUACCGUCCACGGGGUCCCAAAGAGUUGGACGCGAUUGAGCACACGUCCACAUCUUCCUGAUGAAAAGCUUUUCCCUCCGCAUGUAGGAUCUUAGCUCCUCAACCAGAAUGGAACCUGCAUCCCCUGCAUUGGAAGGUGAAGUCUCAACCACUGGACUACCAGGGAAGUCCCAUAAAAAUGCUUUACCCAGCUGUUCUUUCAACUGUCAUCCACAAAAGAGACCAGGUCUGAACCAAAGCAAAAAUUGGCUAACUUUCUUCUCCCAAGUCUAGACAUGAGAAUUUCUUUUUUACUUUUAGCUUGAUGCCUUGGGUAAGAACAUUCAAUGUGAAUCAAUGUGGUUACAACAUAUGAAUUUUAUUAAAGAUCAUUUCGACAGCUAAAAUUCUAAAGUUUCAUAAAAACCUUAAAAUAAGUUCAAGACUAGAGAAAUGUACUGAAACUUCAUAUAAAUCUGCCUUCAUUUAAUGAAUGGAUAAUGCAGUAUUUGGAGUAUUAUUUAAAUAACAAAGGUUUGUUUUUCUUUUCAAAACAUAAAAUUAAGAGAUACAACCUUAUUUCUAAUUUCAGUAUUUAAUAUUUACUGAAGUAAAUUAGUCAUUCACCUGAGAGCAUAAUUUAAUAUGUUUCUCUCAUUUGGAGGGGAAAAUAUACUUUACUUUCUUUAUACCUUCAUUUAUUU
ensembl:lncRNA